ACCUACGGGGGGCAGCAGUGGGGAAUAUUGGGCAAUGGGCGCAAGCCUGACCCAGCAACGCCGCGUGAAGGAAGAAGGCUUUCGGGUUGUAAACUUCUUUUGUCAGGGACGAAGCAAGUGACGGUACCUGACGAAUAAGCCACGGCUAACUACGUGCCAGCAGCCGCGGUAAUACGUAGGGGGCAAGCGUUAUCCGGAUUUACUGGGUGUAAAGGGAGCGUAGACGGACUUGCAAGUCUGAUGUGAAAAUCCGGGGCCCAACCCCGGAACUGCAUUGGAAACUGUAUAUCUAGAGUGUCGGAGAG
rnacentral:rRNA from 1 species